rnacentral:rRNA from 1 species
GGUGAACGCUGGCGGUAGGCCUAACACAUGCAAGUCGAACGGCAGCACAGUAAGAGCUUGCUCUUACGGGUGGCGAGUGGCGGACGGGUGAGGAAUACAUCGGAAUCUACUUUUUCGUGGGGGAUAACGUAGGGAAACUUACGCUAAUACCGCAUACGACCUACGGGUGAAAGCAGGGGAUCUUCGGACCUUGCGCGAUUGAAUGAGCCGAUGUCGGAUUAGCUAGUUGGCGGGGUAAAGGCCCACCAAGGCGACGAUCCGUAGCUGGUCUGAGAGGAUGAUCAGCCACACUGGAACUGAGACACGGUCCAGACUCCUACGGGAGGAAGCAGUGGGGAAUAUUGGACAAUGGGCGCAAGCCUGAUCCAGCCAUACCGCGUGGGUGAAGAAGGCCUUCGGGUUGUAAAGCCCUUUUGUUGGGAAAGAAAAGCAGCAGGUUAAUACCCCGCUGUUCUGACGGUACCCAAAGAAUAAGCACCGGCUAACUUCGUG